rnacentral:rRNA from 1 species
GUGAGGAAUAUUGGUCAAUGGGCGGAAGCCUGAACCAGCCAUCCCGCGUGGAGGAAGACGGCCCUAUGGGUUGUAAACUUCUUUUCAAGGGGAAGAAAGUUCGCGACGUGUCGCGAUUUGCCGGUACCUUUGGAAUAAGCAUCGGCUAACUCCGUGCCAGCAGCCGCGGUAAUACGGAGGAUGCGAGCGUUAUCCGGAUUUAUUGGGUUUAAAGGGUGCGUAGGCCGAUCGAUAAGUCAGCGGUGACAUAACAUGGCCCAACCAUGGAACUGCCGUUGAUACUGUCGGUCUUGAAUAUGGUCAAGGUAGGCGGAAUGUGUAAUGUAGCGGUGAAAUGCUUAGAUAUUACGCAGAACACCGAUUGCGAAGGCAGCUUACUGGACCGGUUACUGACGCUGAGGCACGAAAGCGUGGGUAUCAAACAGGAUUAGAAACCCGUGUAGUCC